AGAGCUCAAAUUUGAAAUCUGGCAGUUUUGCCGUCCGAGUUGUAAUCUAGAGAGGUGUUUUCCGUACUGGACCGUGUAAAAGUCCCUUGGAACAGGGCGUCAUAGAGGGUGAGAAUCCCGUCCAUGACACGGACUACCAGUGCUCUGUGAUACACCUUCAAAGAGUCGAGUUGUUUGGGAAUGCAGCUCAAAAUGGGUGGUAAAUUCCAUCUAAAGCUAAAUACAGGCGAGAGACCGAUAGCGAA
rnacentral:rRNA from 1 species